AUUGAACGAUGGCGGCAGGCCUAACACAUGCAAGUAGAACGAGUGGCGGACGGGUGAGUAAUGUCUGGGAAACUGCCCGAUGGAGGGGGAUAACUACUGGAAACGGUAGCUAAUACCGCAUACCAUCGGAUGUGCCCAGAUGGGAUUAGCUGGUAGGUGAGGUAACGGCUCACCUAGGCGACGAUCCCUAGAUGGUCUGAGAGGAUGACCAGGCAUACGGGCACUGGGACACGUUCCAGACGCCUACGGGAGGGAGCAGUGGGGAAUAUUUCACAAUGGGCGCAAUCCUGAUACAGCCAUGCCGGGUGUAUGAAGAAGGCCUUUGGGUUGUAAAGUCCUUUCAGCGGGGAGGCGUUACCCGCAGAAGAAUCACCGGCUUACUCCGUGCCAGCCGCCGCGGUAAUAC
rnacentral:rRNA from 1 species